UACGUAGGGGGCAAGCGUUGUCCGGAAUCAUUGGGCGUAAAGAGCGUGUAGGCGGCCAGAUAAGUCCGCUGUGAAAUCUCGAGGCUCAACUUCGAGCUGUCGGUGGAAACUGUCUGGCUAGAGUCCGGAAGAGGAGAAUGGAAUUCCUGGUGUAGCGGUGAAAUGCGCAGAUAUCAGGAAGAACACCCGUGGCGAAGGCAGCUCGCUGGGACGUGACUGACGCUGAGACGCGAAAGCGUGGGGAGCAAACAGG
rnacentral:rRNA from 1 species